GAGAGAGAGAGAGAGAGAGAGAGAGAGAGAGAGAGGGAGAGAGAGAGACAGAGAGAGAGAGACAGAGAGAGAGAGACCAACAUGAAAACUAUUUUAGUCCGUUCACACAAUUCUACAUAUCUUUACACUGUGUGUGUGUGUGUGUGUGUGUGUGUGUGUGUGUGUCUGUGCAUACACACAAUAUUAAUGUCUGUCUUGAUUUAGUAAUAUUCGCUCCUAAUAAAAAUAAUUCUGUCAUUUGAUAAUUCUUUAAAUCAUAUGGAUGUCUCAUGAAUAUUAAUGAGUGGGGCGUGGUCAGAUUGUGUGUUUAUGUGUGUGUGGAGAGGUUGUGGUGAUGUGGGAUUAAUUACAGCUGUGAUUGUGUAUUUAUUACUAUGUAAUAAAGAUGUUACUAACAGCA